AUUCCUGUGGCAGCACAUGCUUGAGGCUCCAUCCGCAGGGUGAGAGAGAUGUCUGUCCAUAUCUCAAAGCAGGCUGAGUUGUGGGCUGGUUGUAGAAGGAGAAAGAAGCCCCCAGCCCAGUGCAAGCAGGCAGCCCUCAGCUUGCACCUGAUGUCCCCUCCCUGCAGGUUCCUGUCCUUGAGCCCAGGCCCUGAGGUGAGGCUGAGAAUAAGUGCAAGGCAGAGGUGCUGCUGAGGAAGGAGAGCCCCGUGGUGGGGAGGGCACAAAGCUGUGAGUGCCCAUCCCCGAGCAGGUGCUGUGUCCAUCCCCUGUGUGCCAGGAUUUGUCCUUCCCAAAGCUUGGGCAGAUGAAGGAGGCUGCGAGGAAGAGGAAGAUGCCUUGGGCCCCCCAGGCAGGCCCCGAGCUGAGGACGGAGAGCCCGGAGGACAAAUCCCCCCGGCAGACCCUGGUGGGAGAGGCCGUUUUGAAGGGCUCCCCAGCCCAGGAAGGCAGCGGGGAGGAAAAGGGCCGGAGAUCCCCCCACAGGAGGGGCUCCAAAGCCAGCCCAGGGUGCUCUGAGGAGGAAAGAGCCAGCCUG